rnacentral:lncRNA from 1 species
ACAGAAUGUUGAAGUUGGAGAACUGUAGAGGGGCCUAAAAAAUGUUCCAGAAUCAAGACGGUGCCUGAUGCCCUACCUAGCCCCUCUCCAGCACACAGGAGCCCCGGGCCCUUGGCAAUCAUGUCUGCGCAGCUUGGACCCCAUAUCCAAAAGGGGAGCACGCCCCAAUUUACUCUCACCCCACCAGGUUAAUCCAUGAGAAGAGCUUGGAACAGCGCCCGGCAGUGUCUCAGCGCACCCAAAGUGUGUGCAGACAUGCUCACUCUAGAAGAAACUAGUUGCCAUGUUGUGAGGAUACUCAACAGUCCUGUGGAGGGGGCCACAUGUAGAAAGACCGCAUGUGGAAAGAAACUGACUUGCUAGCAGCAACUUUACAGGUAUGUAUGAAAUAAACCACCUUGGAAGAAGAUCCUCCAGCCUCUCAGUCAAGACUUAAGAGAAUUUCAGCCUUCAAUCAUUUAAUCUGCCAGCCAGGACCCCAGACACUGCAGAACAGAGACAAACAUUCCUGCUGUGCCCUCUCUGAAUUCUUGACCCACAGGAACUGUGAGACAGUGAAAGAUUAUUGCCAUUUUGACCUUCUAAGUUUUGGUGUAAUUUCUUUCUUUUUUUUUUUUUAAUUGAAACAGAGUCUCGCUCUGUUGCCCAGGCUGGAGUGCAGUAGUGCAAUCUCCGCUCACUGCAACCUCCACCUCCCAGGGCAAGUGAUUCUCCUAUCUCAGCCUCCCGAGUAGCUGGGGUUAUAGGUGAGCACCACCAGGCCCAGCUAAAUUUUUUGUAUUUUUAGUAGAGACAGGGUUUCACAAUGAUGGCCAGGCUGGUCUCGAACUCCUGACCUUGUGAUCUGCCCACCUUGGCCUCCCAAAGUGCUGGGAUUACAGGCAUGAGCCACCGUGCCUGGCCUAGUAUAAUUUCUUAUGCAGUAAGAAAUAACUAAUACACUUUCAUUACCCUGCUCAGAAUCUGUUAUGGUCUGAAUGUUCCCCCAGGAUUCGUGUGUCAGAAACUUAAUCUCUAGUGCAACAGUGUUAAGAGGUGAGGCCUUCUUGGAGGUGUUCAGAUCAUGGGGGCUCCACCCUUAUGAGUGGAUUAAUGCCUCUGUAAAAGGACUUGGGAUGGGGGUUCCUUCCCUCUUACCCUUCCACCUUCCACCAUGUGAAGACACAGCAAGAAGGCCCUUUGCACAAUGCCAGUACCUUGAUCUUGGGCUUCCCACCCUCUAGAACUGUGAGAAAAAAAUUUCUGUUUUUUAUAAAUUAUCCAGUUUCAGAUAUUCUGUUACAGCAGUGCAAAACAGACUAAGACAGGCUCUCAUACUCUCACCAAGCUACUCCUCUGCAGCGAUGC